ACGUACACUCCUGCGGGAGGCAGCAGUGGGGAAUAUUGGACAAUGGGCGCAAGCCUGAUCCAGCCAUGCCGCGUGAGUGAUGAAGGCCCUAGGGUUGUAAAGCUCUUUCACCGGUGAAGAUAAUGACGGUAACCGGAGAAGAAGCCCCGGCUAACUUCGUGCCAGCAGCCGCGGUAAUACGAAGGGGGCUAGCGUUGUUCGGAUUUACUGGGCGUAAAGCGCACGUAGGCGGACGAUUAAGUCAGGGGUGAAAUCCCGGGGCUCAACCCCGGAACUGCCUUUGAUACUGGUAGUCUUGAGUUCGAGAGAGGUGAGUGGAAUUCCGAGUGUAGAGGUGAAAUUCGUAGAUAUUCGGAGGAACACCAGUGGCGAAGGCGGCUCACUGGCUCGAUACUGACGCUGAGGUGCGAAAGCGUGGGGAGCAAACAGGAUUAGAAACCCCUGUAGUCCCA
rnacentral:rRNA from 1 species